UUGGUGCCCCAGGAAGAGUGGAAACCGCUGAUCAGCGUCCG
rnacentral:scRNA from 1 species